rnacentral:rRNA from 1 species
UGGGCACUCUAAGGAGACUGCCGGUGACAAACCGGAGGAAGGUGGGGAUGACGUCAAGUCAUCAUGGCCCUUACGGCCAGGGCUACACACGUGCUACAAUGGUCGGUACAAAGGGUUGCCAAACCGCGAGGUGGAGCUAAUCCCAUAAAACCGAUCGUAGUCCGGAUCGCAGUCUGCAACUCGACUGCGUGAAGUCGGAAUCGCUAGUAAUCGUGAAUCAGAAUGUCACGGUGAAUACGUUCCCGGGCCUUGUACACACCGCCCGUCUCUCCAUGGGAGUGGGUUGCUCCAGAAGUAGCUAGUCUAACCUUCGGGGGGACGGU